AAGCUGAGGUCAAUAUCUAAUUUGAAAUACUAAAAGUGGAUACAAAACUAUUUCCGAAAUGCAUACAAUUAAGUGUGUUGUUGUUGGUGAUGGUGCUGUUGGUAAAACAUGCCUCCUGAUAUCCUACACAACAAACAAAUUUACAUCGGAUUAUGUACCCACUGUUUUUGACAACUAUGCAGUCACAGUUAUGAUUGGUGGAGAGCCAUACACUCUUGGACUUUUUGAUACUGCAGGGCAAGAGGAUUAUGACAGACUAUGACUGCUCAGUUAUCCACAGACAGAUGUUUUUCUAGUCUGUUUCUCAGUGGUCUCUCUAUCCUCAUUUGAAAAUGUGAAAGAAAAGAGGGUGCUUGAGAUAGCUCACCACUGUCCAAAGACUCCUUUGUUGCUUGUUGGGACCCAAAUUGAUCUCAGAGAUGACCCCUCUACUAUUGAGAAAGUUGCCAAGAACAAACAGAAGCCUAUUACUCCAGAGACUGCUGAAAAGCUGGAGCAGGAUCUGAUGGCUGUCCAGUAUGUGGAGUGCUCUGCCCUCACACAGAAAGGCCUAAAGAAUGUGUUUGAUGAAGCAAUAUCGGCUGCCCUAAUUCAUUUCUUCAAUAAUGAGAAAUGCCCUGCACCUACCCACAUGCACUCAUGUGAGACAAGGCCCAUUAGUAUGGCCCUUCCUUGCCUUUCCAGUAAUAAUUUUGAAUAA